ensembl:misc_RNA Y_RNA Y RNA
GGCUGGUCUGAAUUCAGUGAGUUAUAUCAAUUAAUUCUUCACAGUCAGUUACAGAUCAAACUCCUUGUUCUAUUCUUCCCCACCCCUUCUCACUGCUGCACUUUAGUCUGGA